GGGUGUAAUAGGCUAGUCAUUAAUUCUGACAGUCUGGAACUAAUGGAGAUUAUGAACAUGGACGGUCAGUAUGCGGGCAAUGCAGCAGCCAUCAUUGAUGAGUGUUACCAUUUGGCAUGUGAGUUUAGUUCAAUUCAGUUUCAAUUCUGUCCUAGAGAAGCAAAUGUUGUUUCUCAUGAAUUAGCUAGUGUAGCUAGAUCUAAAUUUUGUAGCGAGUGGAUUGAAAUUGCUCCUAAUGAGCUUCUUCCUCUUUUACUUAAAGAUGUAAGUGUUAUCACCAAUGAAUAA
rnacentral:rRNA from 1 species